rnacentral:rRNA from 1 species
GGGUGAGUAACACGUAGGCAACCUGCCUGUAAGACUGGGAUAACUCGCGGAAACGCGAGCUAAUACCGGAUAACACUUUCUAUCACCUGAUGGAAAGUUGAAAGGCGGCUUUUGCUGUCACUUACAGAUGGGCCUGCGGCGCAUUAGCUAGUUGGUGAGGUAACGGCUCACCAAGGCGACGAUGCGUAGCCGACCUGAGAGGGUGAUCGGCCACACUGGGACUGAGACACGGCCCAGACUCCUACGGGAGGCAGCAGUAGGGAAUCUUCCGCAAUGGACGAAAGUCUGACGGAGCAACGCCGCGUGAGUGAUGAAGGUUUUCGGAUCGUAAAACUCUGUUGUCAGGGAAGAACAAGUACGAUAGUAACUGAUCGUACCUUGACGGUACCUGACCAGAAAGCCACGGCUAACUACGUGCCAGCAGCCGCGGUAAUACGUAGGUGGCAAGCGUUGUCCGGAAUUAUUGGGCGUAAAGCGCUCGCAGGCGGUUCUUUAAGUCUGAUGUGAAAUCUUGCGGCUCAACCGCAAACGUGCAUUGGAAACUGGA